GGGGGUGGCGGGAAGCUAGGGUUUCGGUCAAUCCAAGCUCCGGACCCCCCGCUGAGCUCCUAGGACAUUUCCUCCCCUCGCAUCCCCUCUCCCGGUGCCUAAUGCAGGUUCUACUCACGGCUGGCGCCCUGUCAGUUGCCCUCCUAGAGCGGGAGGUCUGGGACUCACUGCCGAGCCCUGAGCUCUUGCUGUCAGCCUUCCCCGACUCUGCCAAGGCUCCAGACAGUUGCCACGAAUGGAUCUUGGCUGGUGAGCUGAGGCUUGGGCUGGGAGCAGCAGGAAAUCGAAGGGAUGUGGUGAAGGCUGAGAACUGCUGGAAAGGAAACCAAGAUCCCGGAGCUCUAUGGACUCCGGGGUGUAGCUGACACUUCUGGUGACCUCAGGUGAGUCACUGGCCAGCUCCGGACCUCAGGUUCCUCAUUGAGAAGCAGUAGCAGUUUUCAAAUGCUGCCCCUAUUAUUACGUAGGGAAAUUAAAACCUAGAUGAUUUAAAAGAGAGAGAAAAGAGGCAUCCGCCACAUUUCUGAUCAUUUCCCAAGUACCCCGUUAGAGCUCUGACCCCACGGGACACUCCAUGGGGUUGCAUGGGAAUCCUGCGCCCAGGAAGUAGAAGUUAGAAGCUUCAGAUGUGACAUCAGGAUGGAAUCAGGGAGGGGAAGUCUCGAUUCAGAGUCGACACAGCAGAUCAGUGACAGGGCGAAGCCUGGAACUCAAGUCCCUUGUUUUCAGCUCGGGCUGGUGAGGGGAAUCCCUGGGCCCUCUGAUGUCAACUCCGAGACUUGGAACUAACCCCUCGGUUAAAUCAAGCUGGGCUUCGCAGAAGGCAGGAAGGCUGGGGGGAGGUGGGGCCAGUCUGGAGCUGGGGCCACACCUCGGAGUCUCCCAAACACAGGUGGUGAGACCCUGAGCCCAGGCACAGC